GCUGGGCAUGGUGGCUCAUGCCUGUAAUCCCACCACUUUAGGAAGCCGAGGUGGAGGGAUCACCUGAGGCCAGGAGUUUGAGACCAACCUGGCCAACAUGGUGAAACCCCAUCUCUA
ensembl:misc_RNA Metazoa_SRP Metazoan signal recognition particle RNA